AGAGUUUGAUCCUGGCUCAGAACGAACGCUGGCGGCGUGGAUAAGACAUGCAAGUCGAACGGGACCAAGUCUGUAGUAAUACAAACUUGGUUCAGUGGCGCACGGGUGCGUAACACGUGAGCAAUCUGCCGGGAAGUGGGGGAUAGCUCGCCGAAAGGCGAAUUAAUACCGCAUGUGGCCAUUCUUCGAGUGGAGGAAAAGCCAAAGCAGCAAUGCGCUUCCUGAUGAGCUCGCGGCCUAUCAGCUCGAUGGCGGGGUAAUGGCCCACCAUGGCUUUGACGGGUAGCUGGUCUGAGAGGACGACCAGCCACACUGGAACUGAGACACGGUCCAGACACCUACGGGUGGCAGCAGUCGAGAAUUUUUCACAAUGGGGGAAACCCUGAUGGAGCGACGCCGCGUGGAGGAUGAAGGCCUUCGGGUUGUAAACUCCUGUCAUGCGGGAACAAGCAAGUGAUAGUACCGCAAGAGGAAGAGACGGCUAACUCUGUGCCAGCAGCCGCGGUAAUACAGAGGUCUCAAGCGUUGUUCGGAUUCAUUGGGCGUAAAGGGUGCGUAGGUGGUGAUGCAAGUCUGGUGUGAAAUCUCGGAGCUCAACUCCGAAAUUGCACCGGAUACUGCGUGACUCGAGGACUGUAGAGGAGAUCGGAAUUCACGGUGUAGCAGUGAAAUGCGUAGAUAUCGUGAGGAAGACCAGUUGCGAAGGCGGAUCUCUGGGCAGUUCCUGACACUGAGGCACGAAGGCCAGGGGAGCAAACGGGAUUAGAUACCCCCGUAGUCC
rnacentral:rRNA from 1 species